rnacentral:rRNA from 1 species
CCUACGGGGGGCAGCAGUGGGGGAUAUUGCACAAUGGGGGAAACCCUGAUGCAGCGACGCCGCGUGUGGGAAGACGGUCUUCUGGAUUGUAAACCACUGUCCCCAGGGACGAAAAUGACGGUACCUGGGGAGUAAGCUCCGGCUAACUACGUGCCAGAAGCCGCGGUAAUACGUAGGGAGCAAGCGUUGUCCGGAAUUACUGGGUGUAAAGGGAGCGUAGGCGGGGAUGCAAGUUGGGGGUCAAAACUACCGGCUCAACCGAUAGUCGCACUUAAAACUGCAGCUCUUGAGUGAAGUAGAGGCAGGCGGAAUGCGUAGUGUAGCGGUGAAAUGCGUAGAUAUUAGGAGGAACACCAGUGGCGAAGGCGGCCUGCUGGGCUUUUACUGACGCUGAGGCUCGAAAGUGUGGGGAGCAAACAGGAUUAGAUACCCUUGUAGUC